CGAGAUUGCCUCUUGUCUCGUGGGCUCGGAGAUGUGUAUAAGAGACAGAUAUAACUGCGAUGGGAAGACGGAGUAGGUUAGCUCAGCAAGGCGAUGGUUGUCCUUGUUCAAGCGUGUAGAAAUGGUUCUUAGGAAAAUCCGGGAACCUCUAUUUCAAGGCGUGAUAACGAUCCCUCUUUUGGGAGAAGUGAGUGAGACCAUGCUUCCAGGAAAAUCCUCUAAGCUUCAGGUUAUAUGAAACCGUACCCCAAACCGACACAGGUGGACGAGAUGAGAAUUCUAAGGCGCUUGAGAGAACUCGGGUGAAGGAACUAGGCAAAAUGACACCGUAACUUCGGGAGAAGGUGUACUCUUGUUAUGUGAUAUCACUUGCUGAUAAAGCAGAAAAGAGUUGAAAAUACUAGGUGGCUGCGACUGUUUAUUAAAAACACAGCACUCUGCAAACACGUAAGUGGACGUAUAGGGUGUGACUCCUGCCCGGUGCUUGAAGGUUAAUUGAUGAGGUUAGCGCUUGCGCGAAGCUUUUGAUCGAAGCCCAAGUAAACGGCGGCCGUAACUAUAACGGUCCUAAGGUAGCGAAAUUCCUUGUCGGGUAAGUUCCGACCUGCACGAAUGGAGUAACGACGGCCACACUGUCUCCACCCGAGACUCAGUGAAAUUGAAAUUGCUGUUAAGAUGCAGUAUACCCGCGGCCAGACGGAAAGACCCCGUGCACCUUUACUACAGCUUUGCAUUGAACUCUGAUCCUACUUGUGUAGGAUAGGUGGGAGGCUUUGAAGCUUUAACGCUAGUUAGAGUGGAGCCAACCUUGAAAUACCACCCUGGUAUGGUUGGGGUUCUAACCUAGGUCCGUAAUCCGGAUCGGGAACAAUGCAUGGUGGGUAGUUUGACUGGGGCGGUCUCCUCCUAAAGAGUAACGGAGGAGCGCAAAGGUAUCCUCAGCACGGUCGGACAUCGUGCAAUGAGCGCAAAGGUAAAAGGAUGCUUGACUGCGAGACUGACACGUCGAGCAGGUAGGAAACUAGGUCUUAGUGAUCCGGUGGUUCUGAGUGGAAGGACCAUCGCUCAACGGAUAAAAGGUACGCCGGGGAUAACAGGCUGAUACCCCCCAAGAGUUCACAUCGACGGGGGUGUUUGGCACCUCGAUGUCGGCUCAUCACAUCCUGGGGCUGGAGCAGGUCCCAAGGGUAUGGCUGUUCGCCAUUUAAAGUGGUACGCGAGCUGGGUUUAGAACGUCGUGAGACAGUUCGGUCCCUAUCUGCCGUGCGCGUUGGAAAAUUGAGAAGAGUUGCUCCUAGUACGAGAGGACCGGAGUGAACGAACCGCUGGUGUUCGGGUUGUCAUGCCAAUGGCAUUGCCCGGUAGCUAUGUUCGGAAAGGAUAACCGCUGAAAGCAUAUAAGCGGGAAGCCUCCUUCAAGACUAGUUUUCCCUGGACCUUCGGGUCCUUAGAGAGCCGUUCAAGACUAGGACGUUGAUAGGCAGGGUGUGUAAGUGCUGUAAGGCAUUGAGCUAACCUGUACUAAUUGCUCGAUCGGCUUGACCGU
rnacentral:rRNA from 1 species